GACGAACGCUGGCGGCGUGCUUAACACAUGCAAGUCGAACGCUGAAGCUCAGCUUGCUGGGUGGAUGAGUGGCGAACGGGUGAGUAACACGUGAGUAACCUGCCCUCUUCUUUGGGAUAACGCCCGGAAACGGGUGCUAAUACUGGAUAUUCACUGAUUCUCGCAUGGGGGUUGGUGGAAAGGUUUUUUCUGGUGGGGGAUGGGCUCGCGGCCUAUCAGCUUGUUGGUGGGGUGAUGGCCUACCAAGGCUUUGACGGGUAGCCGGCCUGGGAGGGUGACCGGUCACAUUGGGACGGAGAUACGGCCCAGACUCCUACGGGAGGCAGCAGUGGGGAAUAUUGCACAAUGGGCGAAAGCCUGAUGCAGCGACGCCGCGUGAGGGAUGGAGGCCUUCGGGUUGUAAACCUCUUUCGCUCAUGGUCAAGCCGCAGCUUUGGGUUGUGGUGAGGGUAGUGGGUAAAGAAGCGCCGGCUAACUACGUG
rnacentral:rRNA from 1 species